rnacentral:lncRNA from 1 species
AGUUACCUUCAAUUUGCCUUCAUGAACAUCAUCAAUAUCCCAUCCUUAUUAAGUUAAUCAAAUCCUCUAGGUGUAGUUUUCUUGAAUUAUUGUAAAUUUUCGUUUGAUGGAGGAAAAGGAAGAACUAAACAUAAAAGACUGGGAUCGUCAUAUCAUAAAGAUAAUAAAAGGUAGACGCAAAAGAUGGUUUUGGUGAUGGUGCUUGGUGGGAAUUAUUAUCAUGAAGAUUAAUCUUGAUUAGUCCCAUGGAGUAAGGUAAUGGACAUGUUCUUCAUGGUGUGGUGGUUAAUUAAGGGCAACUUCUAAUCCUUUGGCAUUUGAGUCUCUUGAUGGGCUCUAGGAAUUUAAUUAUAGUAGUAAAAAGAAGACAAUUAUCUCAAAGGCAAGGCAUAUUCUAUAUGCUAAUUAAUCUUGUUCUUUACUUUGUUUUUAUUGAGUUCUAUUACUAAAUGUUGUAUGUGUAUGUAAUCUACUUAAUAUUAUGUAUUAGGCCUAAUAUGGCCAGAAUAAUGGUUUAGUGUUGUAUAAUGGUUUGAUUGUGUGUUGUUUAUGAUUUGGUUUGUUUAAAUUAAUGCAUUAUGUUUUCCUAGGUUAAUGUAUGAAGUUUGU